AGGCCUGACCAAAUAGUUGACUCGGGAAGUGAUUAUCUGGUUAAACUGUAGUAGGGAUGACAAGCGUGUGUGUAUUUUCAUUUUAAAAAGUUAACUACAGUAUAACAAUGGCAUCACUGUCCAUACUACAAUCAAUAUAGCAAUAUGUACAUUUAAGGGAAACGUAAUUAUGUUAUGAAAACGUGUAGCACAUGCAUGGCAUAGAUACUCGUGUUAGUCAGACUUUACUGUUGUUUCAAUGUCAUCUAGUCUAGUGCGCUAAUUUAGCUUGCUGCUGUAGCUAUUUGCUUGCUAGCUAGCUUCUCAGUUAUGUGAUAAUGUGAAAGGAUUUUGCUCAUACCCGGGCCAGAAAUACUGAUUUGGUGGGCUGUAAAGUUAGCUGACUGACUGUGCUGCCAUGACUGGACCCAGCCAUGAAUAUAACUCUGUACUUCAGCGCUGUCGACUAGGGCCUAAAGAAUGUGUGUUUCAAAAGCCCCAUGGCCCCAUUUCACUGUCUCCAUUGGCUGGGUAGUCCCCGUCUCAUCUGUGGCCCCUUCUUGUUCUCAACAAGCGUCAAGGUUCGUUCAUACCUACAGUAUAUGAAGCGGAAGAUCCAGCCCCCGCCAAGUCCUUCAUAGUCAUACCCCUGCCAAGUCCUUCAUAGUCAUACCCCCAUGUCUGCCAGGUGGGUGACCCGGUGCUUCGAGUCCAGGCUGCAGUGGUGGACCCUGGGACCGCACAGGGUCCGGAGGCUCAGGUGGUGAUCCGCACGUUUUGAAUAUUCCGUUUUUUUGGAGAACCACUUGCAACUGAACAUGGACAUUUAUAAGAUACACUUUUCUUUCGAAUCGAGAACGAAGAAAGUAAAUUAGUUAAAUUGGUUCCGACCCUUUCUACUAGCCAAGGCCUGAAUCCAAUUUGUAAGUCGCUCUGGAUAAGAGCGUCUGCUAAAUGACUUAAAUGUUAAUGAAUGAGAAGGCAGAGCCUGUGACCUGGCAAGUGAGCGGGUGGCCCGCACGCAUCCUACAGCUUGAGAUGGAUCACUUGGAUGGAGUCCGGUAC